rnacentral:rRNA from 1 species
GAUGAACGCUGGCGGCGUGCCUAAUACAUGCAAGUCGAGCGAACAGACGAGGAGCUUGCUCCUCUGACGUUAGCGGCGGACGGGUGAGUAACACGUGGAUAACCUACCUAUAAGACUGGGAUAACUUCGGGAAACCGGAGCUAAUACCGGAUAAUAUAUUGAACCGCAUGGUUCAAUAGUGAAAGAAGGCUUUGCUGUCACUUAUAGAUGGAUCCGCGCCGCAUUAGCUAGUUGGUAAGGUAACGGCUUACCAAGGCAACGAUGCGUAGCCGACCUGAGAGGGUGAUCGGCCACACUGGAACUGAGACACGGUCCAGACUCCUACGGGAGGCAGCAGUAGGGAAUCUUCCGCAAUGGGCGAAAGCCUGACGGAGCAACGCCGCGUGAGUGAUGAAGGUCUUCGGAUCGUAAAACUCUGUUAUUAGGGAAGAACAAAUGUGUAAGUAACUAUGCACGUCUUGACGGUACCUAAUCAGAAAGCCACGGCUAACUACGUG